UUUCUCUCUUUUGGUAUGAGAGUAUUAACUCAAUGCCUAUACUCCCAUUGUUUCUCGGAAGUAACUAAUUUGGUUUUUUGUUUGUUUUUAUUUUACAGGCUCAUGGGCAGAAGGGACUAGCCUUGCCUCAGAUGAGACUCGGGACUUUGAACCUUUGAGUUAAUGCUGGAAUGAGUUAAGACUUUGAAGGACUCUUGGGAAUUCAUGAUUGUAUUCUGAAAUAUGAGAAAAAGAGGCCAUCCAUGACCCUCCCCACAAUACAGUAGACCUGAACAAGAUGUUGACCCUGUACAUUGAAGAUAACAGCAACCAGUGUAUACACAUGUUAAACUUCAUCACAACCAAAACAAUGAGUGUAUUCAUCAUCCAGAAGUUUCCUCAAGCCCCUUUGUAAUCCUUCACCCUUGCCUCUCAUUGUGUCAUUCUCGAUGCCCAGGUAAAAACUGAUCUGCUUUCUGACACCAUUGCUUAGUUUUCAUUUUCAAGAACUACAUCUAUGUCAAGUCAUACAGUAUACAUUAUGCUUAUCUUUUUAAAACUAGUAUGAUUAUGUUGUUGUAUUAGCAGUUCAUUCAUUUACAUUGUUGAGUAAUGUUCUUCUGCAUGGAUAUACCACAGUUUCUUUAUAUGUUCACCUGUUUAAGGACAUUUGAUUGUUUUCAGUCUUGGGUUAAUGCAAAUAUAGCCAUUCUGCACAUUUUUGUAUAAGUCUUUGUAUAGACAUAUGCUUACAUUUUUUUUGAGUAAAUACCUAGGAGUGGAGUGUCUGAAUCAUAUAGUAGGCGUAUGUGUAACAUAUAAGUAACAUUGUAAAACUGUUUUCCAAAGUGCUCCUGCCAUUUUGCAUAAAAAUCAAAAGAAUAAGAGUGUUCUGCUUUGUCUACAUUAUUGCUAAUAUUUGGUAUGGUCAGUAUUUCUGACCCAUUCUAUUUUGUGUGUAUUGGUAUCUAAUUUUUGUAAUUGAUGACUUCCCUAAUGACAAGUGAUGUUGUUUUUCAAUUUCUAUAAAAUUUUGUAUAGAAUUGAUAUUAUUUCUCCUUAAGUUUUUGGUAAAAUACCCCAGUGAAGCCAUAUAGGUCGGGAGGCUUUCUUUGUUGUUAUUUGUUUGUUUUGUUCUGUUUUCUUAUUGUUUUUUUUUUAAUUGGAAGGUCUUUAAAUUCAAUGUCUUUAAUAGAAAAAGGACUAUUCAGGUUAUCUCUAUUUCGUGUUGAAAAAACUUUGUUAGUAUUGCUUUAAAAAAUUUUGCCCAUUUUAUCUACAUUUUAUUAGUAGUAUAAAAUUGUCCAUAACAUUUCUCUAUUGACUUUUCAAUAUCUAUAGAUUUUGUCAUAAUCCCAUCAUUCUCAUUGUUUGAUAAUCUGCUUUAUUUUUUCCUGAUAAAUGUAGAUAUAUGUUAUUAAAUAAAUUAACUUUCUCGAAGAUCCAGGUUUUGAUUUUAUUUAUUCUUCUCUGUGCUUUUUUUUUCUGUUUCUACUUUAUUUACUUUUAUUCAGAUCUUUAUUUUUUCCCUUUGUC
rnacentral:lncRNA from 10 species